rnacentral:rRNA from 1 species
UACGGGGGGAGCAAGCGUUGUUCGGAUUUACUGGGCGUAAAGCGCGCGUAGGCGGACCUGCAAGUCGGGGGUGAAAGCCCGAGGCUCAACCUCGGAACUGCCUUCGAUACUGCGGGUCUCGAGUCCGGGAGAGGUGAGUGGAAUUCCUAGUGUAGAGGUGAAAUUCGUAGAUAUUCGCAAGAACACCAGUGGCGAAGGCGGCUUACUGGUCCGGUUCUGACGCUGAGGCGCGAAAGCGUGGGGAGCAAACAGG